rnacentral:tRNA from 2 species
GGUGCGGUAGUUCAGUUUGGUUAGAAUACAUGCCUGUCACGCAUGGGGUCGCGAGUUCGAGCCUCGUCCGCACCGCCA